rnacentral:rRNA from 2 species
UAUACCGUGAAACUGCGAAUGGCUCAUUAAAUCAGUUAUCGUUUAUUUGAUAGUACCUUACUACUUGGAUAACCGUGGUAAUUCUAGAGCUAAUACAUGCUGAAAACCCCAACUUCGGGAGGGGUGUAUUUAUUAGAUAAAAAACCAACGCCCUUCGGGGCUUCUUGGUGAUUCAUGAUAACUUUACGGAUCGCAUGGCCUUGCGCCGGCGACGGUUCAUUCAAAUUUCUGCCCUAUCAACUUUCGAUGGUAAGGUAUUGGCUUACCAUGGUUUCAACGGGUAACGGGGAAUUAGGGUUCGAUUCCGGAGAGGGAGCCUGAGAAACGGCUACCACAUCCAAGGAAGGCAGCAGGCGCGCAAAUUACCCAAUCCCGACACGGGGAGGUAGUGACAAUAAAUACUGAUAUAGGGCUCUUUUGGGUCUUGUAAUUGGAAUGAGUACAAUUUAAACCUCUUAACGAGGAACAAUUGGAGGGCAAGUCUGGUGCCAGCAGCCGCGGUAAUUCCAGCUCCAAUAGCGUAUAUUAAAGUUGUUGCAGUUAAAAAGCUCGUAGUUGAAACUUGGGUCUGGCUGGCAGGUCCGCCUCACCGCGUGUACUUGUCCGGCCGGGCCUUCCUUCUGGAGAACCUCAUGCCCUUCACUGGGCGUGUUGGGGACCAGGACUUUUACUUUGAAAAAAUUAGAGUGUUCAAAGCAGGCCUUUGCUCGAAUACGUUAGCAUGGAAUAAUAGAAUAGGACGUGCGGUCCUAUUUUGUUGGUUUCUAGGACCGCCGUAAUGAUUAAUAGGGACAGUCGGGGGCAUCAGUAUUCAAUUGUCAGAGGUGAAAUUCUUGGAUUUAUUGAAGACUAACUACUGCGAAAGCAUUUGCCAAGGAUGUUUUCAUUAAUCAGUGAACGAAAGUUAGGGGAUCGAAGACGAUCAGAUACCGUCGUAGUCUUAACCGUAAACUAUGCCGACUAGGGAUCGGGCGAUGUUCUUUUUCUGACUCGCUCGGCACCUUACGAGAAAUCAAAGUU